GUCGUCCCCAGGCUCCGGGUGGCCCGACACAGACAGCCUGUCUCCACACUCGGGAGAUUUCCAGAGGAAAAAACACUCUGCUUUUUAAAAUGGAAGCAGCCUUGCCCGCUGGGACCCGCUGUGGCCGACGGGACACGAGCAGACGCCAUGCCCGCAGGCGCCUCAGUUGGCCCCGGUCGUGUGCUUGUCUUCCGUGUGUCUGUCCGGACCAUGGAGACCGGCUCUGGGGAGCCACCGGCCCAGGGAGCAUGAGACACACUGGGCCCGACCCAGACCCCAACCACCCUGCCAUCCACAGCCUAAGACAGAGUCUCCCCGGCCAACCCACCACCUGCACGCAGGAAAAGACCCCUCUUCUUGAACGGCUUUGCAAAAUUCAUCGAUGACAUUCCUUUCUUGGUUAAUGUGUUCACCCGAAAAUACCUACUGAGGUCCCAUUAGGGGCGAGGACCCAGGUCCCAAUUACAAUGUCGCUUCCGUUCCUGUAAAGUGACUUCAGCCCAAGAUACUGAAGAGCAAGCCUUGAGCCCACUCAACCAUUCGUCAUCAGGGAUAUUCUCCACAUCAGAAUUCGAGACCGCUAGAGAUCAGGCAGAGGAACAUUCCACUGUGUGCACGGCCCACGCUCUGCUUACCCGUUCGCCCCCCUAAACGGACACCCGAGUUGCUUCCGCCCCUCGGCUCCCGUGAGAAGUGCUGCUGAGAACACGGGUGUGCCGACGCCUCUUCCAGACCUUGCUUUGCACUUAUUUGGGGGUUCCCGCUCAGCGUUGUGUCCUCAAGACCUGAGGCGCCCAAGGGUGCUGACGGGCCGGACACCUGCCGAGGCUGUUACCGCCAAGUUUCAGAACCACCUGUGAGAGCUCCUGCUCCCUCAGCGAAGGAGAAAGUAAGACAGUUGGAAGUGACU